rnacentral:rRNA from 1 species
GCCUACGACGAUACUACGUUGAAAGCACCGCAUCCCGUCAGAUCUGCGCAGUUAAACAACGUUAGGCUGCAUCAGUACCUUGGUUGGUGACAACAAGGGAACGUCCGCUGUCGUAGGCA